rnacentral:rRNA from 1 species
AUUGAACGCUGGCGGCAUGCUUUACACAUGCAAGUCGAACGGUAACAGGGACUUCGGUCUGCUGACGAGUGGCGAACGGGUGAGUAACAUAUCGGAACGUGCCCAGUAAUGGGGGAUAGCUCGGCGAAAGCCGGAUUAAUACCGCAUACGCCCUGAGGGGGAAAGUGGGGGAUCUUCGGACCUCACGUUAUUGGAGCGGCCGAUAUCGGAUUAGCUAGUUGGUGGGGUAAAGGCCUACCAAGGCGACGAUCCGUAGCUGGUCUGAGAGGAUGAUCAGCCACACUGGGACUGAGACACGGCCCAGACUCCUACGGGAGGCAGCAGUGGGGAAUUUUGGACAAUGGGCGAAAGCCUGAUCCAGCCAUGCCGCGUGAGUGAAGAAGGCCUCGGUUGUAAGACGUCUUUCUAGGUGG